CCUACGGGAGGCAGCAGUGAGGAAUAUUGGUCAAUGGACGAGAGUCUGAACCAGCCAAGUAGCGUGAAGGAUGACUGCCCUAUGGGUUGUAAACUUCGUUUAUAUGGGAAUAAAAUGUUCCACGUGUGGGAUUUUGUAUGUACCAUAUGAAUAAGGAUCGGCUAACUCCGUGCCAGCAGCCGCGGUAAUACGGAGGAUCCGAGCGUUAUCCGGAUUUAUUGGGUUUAAAGGGAGCGUAGGUGGAUUGUUAAGUCAGUUGUGAAAGUUUGCGGCUCAACCGUAAAAUUGCAGUUGAAACUGGCAGUCUUGAGUACAGUAGAGGUGGGCGGAAUUCGUGGUGUAGCGGUGAAAUGCUUAGAUAUCACGAAGAACUCCGAUUGCGAAGGCAGUUCACUGGACUGCAACUGACACUGAGGCUCGAAAGUGUGGGUAUCAAACAGGAUUAGAUACCCGUGUAGUC
rnacentral:rRNA from 1 species